rnacentral:Y_RNA from 1 species
GGCUGGCUCGAUGGCAGUGGAUUAUCAGAACUUACUCACAUUUGUGUCACUAAAGUUGGUACACAACCCUCCACUGCUAACCUUAACUGGCAUAA